AGUGAACGCUGGCGGUAGGCCUAACACAUGCAAGUCGAACGGCAGCACAGUAAGAGCUUGCUCUUACGGGUGGCGAGUGGCGGACGGGUGAGGAAUACAUCGGAAUCUACUUUUUCGUGGGGGAUAACGUAGGGAAACUUACGCUAAUACCGCAUACGACCUACGGGUGAAAGCAGGGGAUCUUCGGACCUUGCGCGAUUGAAUGAGCCGAUGUCGGAUUAGCUAGUUGGCGGGGUAAAGGCCCACCAAGGCGACGAUCCGUAGCUGGUCUGAGAGGAUGGUCCGCCCAACGUGAAACUAGAACACGGCCCGAACUCCUAGGGAGGGCGCAGGUGGGAAUAUUUGGAAAAGGGGGGAAACCCUAUCCCAGCCUACCGGGGUGGGUAAAGAAGCCUUUCGGGUUGUAAAGCCUUUUGUUUGGAAAGAAAAGCAGCAGGUUAAUACCCCGCUGUUCUGACGGUACCCAAAGAAUAAGCACCGGCUAACUUCGUG
rnacentral:rRNA from 1 species